rnacentral:rRNA from 1 species
AACGAACGCUGGCGGCAUGCCUAACACAUGCAAGUCGAACGAGACCUUCGGGUCUAGUGGCGCACGGGUGCGUAACGCGUGGGAACCUGCCCUUAGGUUCGGAAUAACUCCCCGAAAGGGGUGCUAAUACCGGAUAAUGUCUUCGGCCCAAAGAUUUAUCGCCUUUGGAUGGGCCCGCGUUGGAUUAGCUAGUUGGUAGGGUAAAAGCCUACCAAGGCGACGAUCCAUAGCUGGUCUGAGAGGAUGAUCAGCCACACUGGGACUGAGACACGGCCCAGACUCCUACGGGAUGCAGCAGUGGGGAAUAGAGGAAAGUGGGGGAAAGCAUGAUCCAGCAAUGCCGCGUGAGUGAUGAAGGCCUUAGGGAUGUAAAGCUCUUGUACCCGGGAUGAUAAUGACAGUACCGGGAGAAUAAGCUCCGGCUAACUCCGUG